UGCAUCUUAUGAUUAUUCGACUCUUUGUGAUAUGAUAUAUCCUUUAAUCAAGCAUCUUUAUCUUGCACAUAAACAGAGAAAUAAAAGAUCAUACAUGGGAACUUGUUUAUCAUCUAAGACUCAGAAUGGCACACAUCACAUCUUCUCACCAUCCAUUGGUCAGAACAUGAUUAUACAACCAUACCUUGCUAUAAGAGAGGCUGGGAAAUUACAGGUAUAUUUCUCAUAUCUAAAGAGCAUGGUUGAAAUUGAGAGAUGCCAUGUAUUGGAGACGACUUCAGGGACUGCAACACUGCUCAGUCAUAAAAAUUCACCUCAUGAUUUUAUAAAGUGUAAUUACCUGUUUCCUAAACUCAUUUCUUAAUUUAUUUUACUAAUAAGGGAUGGAAAACAGCUUUUAUAAUUGCAACAUCAUUGAUUUGUCAGUUCCGGUACUAAUAUAAUCUAUACAUAUUUCUAAAUGUAUGGGAGGCAAGCAAAAAGGAUCUUGGCCCAGUAGAAUGUUUGAGUACCAUUAGUUUUCUAAUGAUAAUUUAGAACAGAGUUCAGUAAACUAUGGCCUGGGGGCUAACUAUUGCCAGUCUCCUACUUUUGAUGCUAAAUUCUUAUUGGAACAGAGGUACAUUCAGUAAUUUGUUACUAGCACUCCAGUGUGAAAAGGAAACCUAUGUAACUGAAAUAAACACGCACACACACAAAACAUGGGAUAGAAAAUAAGUCCUGGAAGGAAAGCCUGAAAAUAAAGUAAUUUUUGUUUGACCACUUUCAUGCUGCAAUGGCAGAGUUGAGGAGUUGUGACAAAUAAAAUAUGGUCUGCAAGCCAUAAAAUAUUUACUCUAUGGUUCUGUAUAAAGAAAGUUUGCUGACCUCUAGUUUAAAAGAGCAACCUAAAGACAGAAAGAAUAAGUGUUCUGUGUGGACUGUUGUUUUUGUGAGAUAUCUUGUUUACUUACAUUCUGCCUGGCCUAUGUUCUUGCUUGCUAAUUUGUAUGGUAGACUCAUUGAUAAAUCUCUAUAAUAUCAGUUGUACUAAGAGGUUUUAAUGUAUCCUUUAUGUUUCAAGAAUAAUUGGGUUUACACAGUCUAUAUAUUUUAAUCAUAUACAAAUGGGAAUAUAUUUUCUGAAGUCACUAGUUUGUCUUCAAUGGUAGGUAAACCUAGACUGCUGACAUAUUAGCUGGUGGACAGUAAUUAGUUUAGAAAGUUAAUCAAUUGUGCUGAGGGCUGAAAAGGUGAGGUGUGCUUGCAAUUUAGAAUGGUAUUUGUUUUUUGUAUAUAAUUAUUUUUUGUUGGUGCAACCAAAUCACACAUCCAACAAAGCUAGCUAUUCUUUUUUUAAUGUGAAUGAUUGUAUGCUGAAAUAAUCUAUGGAUGACAAGUCAACCUCCCAGAAUAAGGCAGUAUUUUCCAAUAGAGUUUCACAAUAUCCUACCCAAAUUAACUUCAAUUAAAUUCCAUUGCUACAAAUGCCAUGAGUGUGAAGUUGGCCAAAUAAAAUUUAUUAAUCAAUGCUACCUAGAGAAGUCCUCUAUUAAUGACAAGUUUUUUAAAAAGGACAUCUUUGGCCAGGCAGUGGCUCACAACUAUAAUCCCAGCACUUUGGGAGGCCAAGGUGGGUGGAUCACCUGAGGUCAAGAUUUCAAGACCAGCCUGGCAAACAUGAUGAAACCCCAUUUCUAUUAAGAAAAAUAAAACUGCAAAAAUUAGCCAGGCGUGGCGGUGCAUGCCCGUAAUCCCAGCUACUCAGGAAGCUGAGGCAGGAAAAUAGAUCUAACACAGGAGGCAGAUGUUGCAAUGAGGUGAGAUCAGGCCACUGCACUCCAGCCUGGGUGGCAGAGUGAGAUUCCGUCUCAAAAAAAAAAAAAGGGGGGAAAAACAUCGUUAAUAAAUGUCACAUUAAUGGAUUUCUUCCAUAACAUGCUGUAUACCUCAAAGAAUACUGCCACUAAUUUGACUACAGCUUCUGGUGCAUUACUAGUGAAUAAACUCCAAAAUAGAAACAUUUUCCAUUUUUAAUCAACUUUAUUGAAGUGUAACUUACAAACAAUAAAAUGUACUUAUGUUUAGA
rnacentral:lncRNA from 1 species